GCCAGAAUGGUGUAGUGGUUUGAGCAUUGGACUAUGACUCUGAAGAACAGAGUUUGAAUCCCUGCUCAGCCA